GACGAACGCUGGCGGCGUGCUUAACACAUGCAAGUCGAACGGAAAGACCCUGCUUUUGUGGGGUGCUCGAGUGGCGAACGGGUGAGUAACACGUGAGUAACCUGCCCUUGACUUUGGGAUAACUUCAGGAAACUGGGGCUAAUACCGGAUAGGAGCUCCUGCUGCAUGGUGGGGGUUGGAAAGUUUCGGCGGUUGGGGAUUGACUCGCGGCUUAUCAGCUUGUUGGUGGGGUAGUGGCUUACCAAGGCUUUGACGGGUAGCCGGCCUGAGAGGGUGACCGGCCACAUUGGGACUGAGAUACGGCCCAGACUCCUAAGGGAGGCAGCAGUGGGGAAUAUUGCACAAUGGGCGGAAGCCUGAUGCAGCAACGCCGCGUGCGGGAUGACGGCCUUCGGGUUGUAAACCGCUUUCGCCUGUGACGAAGCGUGAGUGACGGUAAUGGGUAAAGAAGCACCGGCUAACUACGUG
rnacentral:rRNA from 1 species